GACGAAUGCUGGCGGCGUGCUUAACACAUGCAAGUCGAACGGUAAGGCCCUUCGGGGUACACGAGUGGCGAACGGGUGAGUAACACGUGGGUGAUCUGCCCUGCACUUCGGGAUAAGCCUGGGAAACUGGGUCUAAUACCGGAUAGGACCACUGCCUGCAUGGGUGGUGGUGGAAAGCUUUUGCGGUGUGGGAUGGGCCCGCGGCCUAUCAGCUAGUUGGUGGGGUGAUGGCCUACCAAGGCGACGACGGGUAGCCGGCCUGAGAGGGUGACCGGACACACUGGGAAUGAGAUACGGCCCAGACUCCUACGGCAGGCAGCAGGGGGGAAUAUUGCACAAUGGGCGCAAGCCUGAUGCAGCGACGCCGCGUGAGGGAUGACGGCCUUCGGGUUGUAAACCUCUUUCAGCACCGACGAAGCGCAAGUGACGGUAGGUGCAGAAGAAGGACCGGCCAACUACGUGCCAGCAGCCGCGGUAA
rnacentral:rRNA from 1 species